rnacentral:rRNA from 1 species
AUGGCUACAGGACGAACGCUGGCGGCGUGCUUCAAACAUGCAAGUCGAACGAGACUCAAGGAAGCUUGCUUCUGAGAGUCUAGUGGCGGACGGGUGAGUAACGCGUGAGCAAUCUGGCUAUUACAGGGGGAUAACACUUAGAAAUGAGUGCUAAUACCGCGUAUGACCACAACCUGGCAUCGGGAAGGGGUGAAAGGAGAAAUCCGGUAAUAGAUGAGCUUGCGUUUCAUUAGCUAGUUGGUGAAGGUAACGGCCCACCAAGGCGACGAUGAAUAGCCGAUCUGAGAGGAUGAACGGCCACACUGGAAUUGAGAACGGUCCAGACUCCUACGGGAGGCAGCAGUUAGGAAUAUUGGGCAAUGGAGGAAACUCUGAACCCCCAGCAACGCCGCGUGAAGGAAGAAGGUUUUCGGAUUGUAAACUUCUGAUCUGUGGGAAGAAGAAAGUGACGGUACCACAGGAGAAAGCCACGGCUAACUACGUGCCAGCAGCCGC